rnacentral:misc_RNA from 1 species
GAACUACAAUAAUGAACGUUCAAGAGAUUUCACAAAUCCUAGCCUGCCUUCUGAACCAAAAGGCCGGUCAUCUCAACCUGGAUAUGGUGAUACGGGAGGCAUGUAUGCACUUCAAGCAUCUGGAGCGAGACCAGUUGCAUUCUCACAGAUGGCCAAUGCAGCGGCUGUUGCUGCUGCAUUUGGAGGAGGUUUGCCACCUGGUGUUAGUGGGACGAACGACAGGUGUACAGUCCUUGUGUCCAAUCUGAAUCCGGAUAGAAUAGAUGAAGACAAG